AACAUCGCGCACCUGCGGGAACCUGCGGAAGGAUCAUCAAAGAAUUUUCCAAAGAGAAAAUUGAGUUGCUCCUUUUCUUGUAAAAGAGAGAGAGAAGCGCUCUUUUUUCUCCAAACAAACGAUCACAACUAUUGAAAAAAUAAUUGACUUGGUUGGUUGAUGAGAAAUUAUAAGUGUUUGCCUGAUAAUUUGAUGAUUUGGAAACAAGAGAAAGAAAUACAACUUUUAGCAAUGGAUCUC
rnacentral:misc_RNA from 1 species